rnacentral:tRNA from 1 species
GGGGUUGUAGCUCAGUGGUAGAGCGCCUGCCUCUCAUGCGUGAGGCCCUGGGUUUGGUGCCCAGCACCA